ensembl:lncRNA
CCGACGCUCAAGAGUUCAAGACAGAAAAAUGCUUAUGAGUUUGAAGCCAGUCUAGACUAUAGUGUGUUCCAGGACAACCUGGACUAACAGUGAGAUAUCUCAAAAACAAAAUAAACCAAAACUAAGAAGAUUCUCUUUCCUUUGUAAGUAUAGUAUCAAUAGACAAGAUAAUCAAGUUUAACUAUGAGUUUACUGAUUAUGUUAUCCAGUCUGAAUGGAUACCUUUAUGCUCACCACCUUUGCUGCAUGCUGUGGAAGUUUGUUUCAUUUGUAAAUACUUAGUUUGUUGAUUUAAUAUAUUAUUUUUUAAAAUACAUACUACAGAGGUGGUGACAUUAUCCUGGAGUCCCCUUAUCUUAUUAAUUUGAUAGAUUGGUCCUCACUCAAAUGACAUCACUCUGGCUGAACACUUGCUCCUGGAGAAGAGGUGGAGUUGCUCAUCCUUGCUCACCGGAGAUUCCAGUCUAGAAGGAGCAGAACUUUCAUGUGAUAGAAAACCAAGAAGAAUUAAAGACGUAGAGUCAGACACCUGAGUAUUGGUUAUGUUGGAGAUGGAAUAGAAGGGGAGACGGCCAAAGGUCCAAUAUCUUGGUUAUAAUAGAUGAAUAACUGAUAAAUAUUUGAAGUGGUAUAGAUAUGCUAAUUAGUUGACUCAGUAAUUAAACUUUAUACGUAUAAUGUGCAUAACUCUCAUUUAUCAAUACGUAAUAAAAUAAACAAUUCUUUUAGGAAAUAAUAAAGGUCACCUCCAUCAGUAUCUAUCAGCACUACCAAUGCUGAUUUGGCAAAAGUCUAUUGGUUGAUGAUGAGAUUGUAGACUGUAUAAAUGACAGAACCAGCACGAAAUGAGCUGGCCUGACCUAUGAGCCAUCCUAUGAAGCAGCAAACCUGGAGGUUCAGGUGACCACAUUCGUGUAAUGAGAUUCAUUGUAACUCUUAAAAUCUAUAUAAGGAGGGCUGCCAGUCAGUAUUGCUUUGCACUCUCAGUUAGAGCUAUGAAGAAAC